CUGCAGAGGGGUGGGCAGAUGCAUGUGGAUAGGGAUUGGACGGACAUAACCACACGCGCGAUCCACACCCACUCCUCACGCGGUGCCUCCUCCUCCUCCCUCUCACAGUCGCUGCACCGUUCCUCCCUUCCGCCCUCUCCUCCUUCCCGGAUCCCCGCUAAGGCGACGCCUUGCAGGCAAAGGACGACAGCGGCGGCGCGUAGGAGAGAGAAGAUGAGAGGGAGAGAGAGAAGGAGAGGAGGGAGAAAGAGAGGAAGAGGAUAGGAGGCAAGGCGUCGGAUGUGAGAGAGCAGGGGAGGGCCAAGAGGCCAGCGGUGUGGGCUGGAGCUGAGAGGCCGGAGACCCGGGCGGCGGACGCCUCACGAGGUGGCGGAGAGGCCGGCGAUAGGGAAGGAGCAAAAUCGUCAUGGAUCUGUAGGGAAGGUGAGGUCCUGACGGCUGAAGAUGGUGCGCAGCCGGCGACGCGUCCUCCCCGCUCUCGCUCGCUCGCAUCGUCUUCGAGAUCGCGGGCUCGGCGCACCUCUGGUCGUGCCGCCGCGAGUAUGUCCGCCUCUGGUGGGAUCCCGCCUCCAUGCGCGGCCACGUCUGGCUCGACGCUAGCGCGCCCGGCGCGCCGGGGCCCAGCGCUGCCGGGGAGGACUAGCUCCUGCCGAUCCGGGUGUCCGAGGACACCUCGCGCUUCCGGUACACCAACCCGACGGGCCACCCUUCUGGGCUCCGGAUCACGCGCAUCGCUGCCGAGGCCGUGCGGCUUGUGGGAGGCGGGGGCGCGCGGUGGGUGGUGCUCGUGGACGACGACACCGUGCUGUCCCCGGACAACCUGGUGGCGUGCUCGGGAAGUACGACUGGAGGGAGAUGGUGUACGUCGGGGCCUCGUCGGAGAGCCACUCGGCCAACACCUAUUUCAGCCACGGCCCCUCGCCGCUGUGCUCGCGCGGACACUCGACGUGUGCAUCGAGAGGUACCCCAGGCUGUAUGGAAGCGACGACCGCCUCCAUGCUUGCAUCACGGAGCUUGGCGUACCCCUUUCGCGCGAAUAUGAAUUCCAUCAUGUAUGUUUGGGUGUUCAUAUUUUUGAUAGACAAACACUAAUAGGUGCACUUGACUGUUUGAGGAAAUGCCAACUGAAAGCGAAAUUCAGUUAGAACUAGCCUUUUGCAUGUGUGUUCUUGAUGCUUCAUGUACGACCACAUAGUAGGGACGCAAUAAAUAUUUCUUAGCUAGGUUGCUUGCCUAAUGAAGCUCCCAUGUGGACCAUUUACUCCUCUGUGUUAUUGGAAUUUGUUUGCGGUGUUUGCUCAGGCUGAAGAAAUUCAUGUUGUUUUCCUUCAUUUAUUUUCUUUUAUGAGUAAGUACUACCUUUGGCAAUUGCUCUGUCCAGCCUAUUAAUCACCGAUAAAGGUUUUGAUGCAAUCUACGGAAUAAGCUCACAUUGUUGAUUGCAGGAUCGGAAGAUGCUUUACACAUAAUUGUGUGAUGCUCAGAGACAUUUUGCACAACGGAAACUUCUUGUGAAGCUUGAUCUUAUUCAGGUGCCUAACUGACUACGGCUUACUAGGUGUUUGUGCUUACCAGUAUGCCAGAAACUUCUUGGAAGCUCGCCGUUUCAGAGCCAUAUGAAUUUUUUAUAGAAACAUGAGCAGAAUAAAAUGGAAACAGCUUCUGGUACAUCUGAGGUAUAAAAUCGGCAAUCUUCGUUGAAUGUUGAGCUUUUUCAUCUAUAACUGUGUUUUCUUUAAAGUUAACUACAGAAGCAUUGCUUUUAUUCACAGGUUUUGCUUUUCUUUCAUGUUUCCUAUCCAACAUAAAAUCUGUGUCACUGGUUGUAGUCAUCGCUUCUAAAGUCAACGCUGCCUUUUCUGUCACAGGUUUACUGGUUUUUCUAUUUUCAUUCCUAUGGCCUGUAUUUUUGUAGCGAGCUUCUUUUAUGCUUGGUUACCAAACUUAUCAAUUAGCAUGCCUAUUUCUCUGCAUUGUAUAGCCUUUAUUAUAUUAUAACUGUAAAGAAUGCAGUUUGAGGAUAAUCUGCCAAUUCUUCUGUAUUGGAUAUGAAAUAAUUAGGCAUUUCUAAAUUGUCUUGAAUUUCCCUGAACUGAAAAAUGGACUGAUCUACUUGCUGCCUGUGCUACUAAACAUAAAACUGAAAAACCUUUUACUGCCAUUUUGUUGGUACUUUCCAUAAUGAACUUGGUUUCUGUUCACACACAUGUACUGCUACAUUAUCCUAUACAUGUUGUCUGAAUUAUGUGAGAGGAUACUGCCAUUUUGUUGGUACUUUCCAUAUUGAAUUCAGUGUAGCAGACAUCAGCAAGUUUGAGAUGUAGCACUCUUCACUUUUGUCGCUGGUUUACAUCUGUCAAUCCUAGAAAUUGAUUAGUGCCUUCUGUUUUGACUCUAGAUUUGAAUAGUGCCCAGGUAGUGUUCAUUAGUAGGUUAAAAGGAUGUUCAACUUAUUUAUUAAAUCAUGAUGUACAAAAGGUUUAGCUAAUUGGGACUCCAAGUCUGCAACCAAAGUAGAAAUAAGGCCAUGGAGCAAGAGUUCCGUUGGGCAUCCUUUGCAUUUCUCUUGUCAUGUUCCAUGCUUCACAACAUGUGGGUAAACAUAUCAGUACACACGCACACUGCAGUUUGUAAUGUCAUUUAAUAGGGGAUGCAUUAGGGUACUUUAUUUCCAUUAUAAACUAAUAAUAAUUAAGAGCUUAGUAAGGUAACAAUAAUCUACUCCCUCCGUUCUAAAUUACUUGUCGCAGAAAUGGAUGUAUCUAGAACUAAAAUACAUCUAGAUACAUCCAUUUCUGCGACGAGUAAUUCGGAACGGAGGGAGUAGGAUAUACAGUAGAAUAUUAGAUGUGCUUGUAUAAGUAGAAUGCAGAGUUUAGAAAUGAACUGAAAUCUUAGAGCAGGAAGUGGUAGGCUUAAUUUCAUUUAGAAAAAUAGGUGUACUGCAGCAUCAUAUAUUAAGGUAAUCCCUCAGCCAAAACAAAUUGGAGGGGAAGAUCGUCAAGUUAGCGACCCAGUUUUCAUUCUGUGGGCUUUCCUUUCUUCAAAGAAAGCUCCAGCCCGAGCAAGGGCAUAUCAGCUACAAUAUCGAUCAGUUGGUUGAUUAUGUCGCCCAUUUUGUAAAUUCAACUUAGCAAUAAAGCAUUGACAAGUGUGUUCACUUCUCUCCAUCCCAAACAAAAUAUCAUCAUCUGGUUCUUUAAUCUGUUUUUAAUCCUUAUAUCAGUCUGCGACGAUGGAACCAAUUUUUCACCCAAUCUGAACUGGUUGUUUUACCUCUUCUUUUUUACUCUCCAUAAAUGUACAGCUUUAUAAAAGUUGUUGUAUUGCUUGGGGCCAAUUUACUUAUAUUAUGCUCAACUUUAGCUCAUGAACUGCAUGGCGAAACCUAAUUCUGGUUGGUCUUCUGCCACUUGUUUUAUGGCUGUCUAGGCAACGGAUGGCAUUCUUCUUUGUUGCCAAUUGUGAAUUAUUUUGUAGAAGGUCUCUCAGCAGCUACCUAUGCUUUGCGAGGUUCUGACAGUAUGUAGCUAGCAUGUAUGGUUUUUACAUACUUCUGCAUAGGUUGAGAUGCAUCACAUGAUCUUCUCUUGAUUGAUGGGUAUUGCAGAGUCCUUUCUUUGCCACAAAGGGCAGGAGCUAUGCCAUUCAACUCAAAAGGACAAAGAGUUCAUCACAAGGGGGUGGUCUCUAGGAUAUUUACACAAAAUAGGAAAUUUCUUUUUGUAUAGAACCAAAUUAUACUAUCUAAUUGAGUAAAUUAUAUCAUGUAUUAAGUACAUUUUAUUGUGUCACCUAUGUUUACCUCUUUUUUAAUGCAAGUUUACUACUACUCAGACUUUCUAA